rnacentral:rRNA from 1 species
UACGAAGGAUUCGAGCGUUAUCCGGAUUUAUUGUGUUUAAAGGGUGCGUAGGCGGACCGAUAAGUCAGUGGUGAAAUCCUGUUGCUUAACAACAGAACUGCCAUUGAUACUGCCGGUCUUGAGUACAGUUGAGGUAGGCGGAAUGUGUCAUGUAGUGGUGAAAUACUUAGAUAUGACACAGAACACCGAUUGCGAAGGCAGCUUACUACGGAUCGAUUGACACUGAGGCACGAAAGCGUGGGGAUCAAACAGG